UUUUUGUUUCUAUUUUUGUUUCUAUUUUAUUACUGUUUCUAUUAUUAUUAUUGUUUCUAUCAUUAUUAUUGUUUCUAUUUUUGUGUCUAUUUUUGUUUCUAUUUUUGUUUCUAUUUUUGCUUCUAUUUUUGUGUCUAUUUUUGUGUCUAUUUUUGUGUCUAUUUUUGUUUCUAUUUUUGUUUCUAUUUUUGUUUCUAUUUUUGUGUCUAUUUUUGUGUCUAUUUUUGUGUCUAUUUUUGUGUCUAUUUUUUUUCUAUUUUUGUGUCUAUUUUUGUUUCUAUUUUUUUGUUUCUAUUUUAUUAUUGUUUCUAUUUAUAUUUUUGUUUCUAUCAUUAUUAUUGUUUCUAUUUUUGUUUCUAUUUUUGUGUCUAUUUUUGUUUCUAUUUUGUUUCUAUUUUUUGUUUCUAUUUUUUGUUUCUAUUUUUGUGUCUAGUUUUGUUUCUAUUUUUAUCUCUAUUUUUGUGUCUGUUUUUGUGUCUGUUUUUGUGUCUAUUUUUAUGUCUAUUU
rnacentral:misc_RNA from 1 species